GUGCUUGCUAAGGCAGCACAUUUACUAAAAUUGGAUCGAUACAGAGAAGAUUUGCAUGGCCCCUGCAAACGGAUGACAUGCAAAUCUGUGAAGAGCUCUAUGUUUUG